rnacentral:pre_miRNA from 1 species
AAAGUACUCCCUUCGUCCCAAAAUUCUUGUCUUAGAUUUGUCUAGAUACGAAUGUAUCAAGUCACAUUUUAGUAUUAGAUACAUCCAUAUCUAGACAAAUCUAAGACAAGAAAUUUGGGACAGAGGGAGUAGUUG